rnacentral:rRNA from 1 species
GGGGAACUGAAACAUCUAAGUACCCCGAGGAAAAGAAAUCAACCGAGAUUCCCCCAGUAGCGGCGAGCGAACGGGGAGGAGCCCAGAACCUGAAUCGGCUUGUGUGUUAGUGGAAGCGUCUGCAAAGCGGCAAGUGGGUUAUAGCGACGGGAACCUCGCUGCAGGGCAAAUACUUUUGGCGCCGUCAGAUGCAGAAUGUGCCUCAGCUCUUUUUCUCGAUAAGAGGGUAAUAUCGGCACCGGGAUCGCACCGAGCAUCAACGAAGAGAGCAUGAUGACAACCGCUUCACGGGUGUU